AAUAAUACCCCGGUAGUCCACGCCGUAAACGAUGAGUGCUAAGUGUUAGGGGGUUUCCGCCCCUUAGUGCUGCAGCUAACGCAUUAAGCACUCCGCCUGGGGGAGUACGGUCGCAAGACUGAAACUCAAAGGAAUUGACGGGGGGCCCGCACAAGCGGUGGAGCAUGUGGUUUAAUUCGAAGCAACGCGAAGAACCUUACCAGGUCUUGACAUCCCGCUGACCGUUCUAGAGAUAGAUCUUUCCCUUCGGGGACAGCGGUGACAGGUGGUGCAUGGUUGUCGUCAGCUCGUGUCGUGAGAUGUUGGGUUAAGUCCCGCAACGAGCGCAACCCUUGAUCUUAGUUGCCAGCAUUCAGUUGGGCACUCUAAGGUGACUGCCGGUGAUAAACCGGAGGAAGGUGGGGAUGACGUCAAAUCAUCAUGCCCCUUAUGACCUGGGCUACACACGUGCUACAAUGGACGGUACAGAGGGUCGCAACCCCGCGAGGGUGAGCUAAUCCCAUAAAACCGUUCUCAGUUCGGAUUGUAGGCUGCAACUCGCCUA
rnacentral:rRNA from 1 species